CAGUUAAAAAAAAAGACCAUAGAACUGGCACAGGGGGCGGCCCACCAAGCCAGGAUAUGACCCCGGCGGAGGAGCUGGCACUCCAUUUAAAUAAAGGGAGGCCAGUGAUGGAGGGAAUCCAGGGAGGGACUGUAACGGACUCUAUCCCAGCCACAGAAACUGUCCGCUUCAUACAAGUGUCUGGGAACACACUAACACUUUUGGAGCCACCAGAAGAUGAUCCAGGGGAAGGCACAUCUGCAGCUGCAGAAUACACUUCUGCAGAUGAGGACACUGUCACUGGACUCCAGAAGGCUUGAGGACACAGAUGAUGCACAGUCUCCUAAGCAGCCUGGUAACAUUACUUCACAAACUGUCAGAAGGCUUUAUGCGAAGCACCUGGAGAGACAGAUAGAGCUGGCAGACCUUAAAAUAAAACUGAAGAAGAGAAAGCUCCAAGAAAUGGAGCUGGAUCUUGAAAUUAAACGUCGGACACUCAGGAAACUGGACCUGGAAAUCCAGAAACUAGAAAGAGAAGAUCCAAGCAACCAAGGCAAAUGA
rnacentral:lncRNA from 15 species